rnacentral:rRNA from 1 species
UCCGGUGAUUCAUCGGCUUCUUGAGGCGGUGGGCUCCGAAGGAGAGGCGCAGCAGUAGCAAGGUCACCGGUGCCCUAUCGCGAGCAGCCAAUGGCUUACGAGCCGCCGGUGAUUUGCGCUCGAUGCGGCAGGAAGGCGCCACGGUGGAUAUCCUGGAGUCCGGCGAACCCUGGUAAGAGAUAUUAUUCCUGCGUAGAUUCUCAGGUAUGCUUGAUUCCUCACCUGUCCUCUUUUUCUCUGUUUUUUCUUGUGUCAAACUCUGAAUUUUCUGUGUCAUGA